CAGGUCUUGACAUCCUCUGACAAUCCUAGAGAUAGGAUGUUCCCCUUCGGGGGACAGAGUGACAGGUGGUGCAUGGUUGUCGUCAGCUCGUGUCGUGAGAUGUUGGGUUAAGUCCCGCAACGAGCGCAACCCUUGUCCUUAGUUGCCAGCAUUUAGUUGGGCACUCUAAGGAGACUGCCGGUGACAAACCGGAGGAAGGUGGGGAUGACGUCAAAUCAUCAUGCCCCUUAUGACCUGGGCUACACACGUGCUACAAUGGAUGGUACAAAGGGUUGCGAGACCGCGAGGUUUAGCCAAUCCCAUAAAACCAUUCUCAGUUCGGAUUGUAGGCUGCAACUCGCCUACAUGAAGCCGGAAUCGCUAGUAAUCGUGGAUCAGCAUGCCACGGUGAAUACGUUCCC
rnacentral:rRNA from 1 species